GAGGAAGUAAAAGUCGUAACAAGGUUUCCGUAGGUGAACCUGCGGAAGGAUCAUUAAAAGAAAUUGGUUAUACAUUUCAUGUAUCAACUGUUUAAACCCAUUCUGUGUACCUUGCCUGUUGCUUCCAUGGAGCCUGACUUUGGUCACUCUUGUGAUGUAAAUCCCAAGGGAGUCCCCAUGGAAGGUCAUCAAUAAAACUCAUGUAUCCAAUGUCUUCUGUCUGAACUGUUUAUAACAAUUGUUAAAACUUUCAACAACGGAUCUCUUGGUUCUCGCAUCGAUGAAGAACGCAGCGAAAUGCGAUAAGUAGUGUGAAUUGCAGAAUUCAGUGAAUCAUCGAAUCUUUGAACGCACAUUGCGCCUCCUGGUAUUCCGGGAGGCAUGCCUGUUCGAGCGUCAUUAAAUACCUCUCAAGCACCAUUGCUUGGUCAUGGAAGAUGAGUAUGCUUGCAUUCUCCCUUCUGAAAUUCAAAGGCGGAUCAUCUCAUAUUCCCUGGCGUAGUAAGUGUUUAUCUUUCGCUUGGAGUGUCUGACAGUCUUGCCAUCGACCCCCAUUAUUUCAAGGUUGACCUCGGAUCAGGUAGGGAUACCCGCUGAACUUAAGCAUAUCAUA
rnacentral:rRNA from 1 species